rnacentral:lncRNA from 1 species
CUUGAGGAGGCGACACAUGACAAGUAGGUGGUGACUUUCUCUCCAAAUCAGAAUUAGGUCGCAGAUAACUGGCAACAGCUCAGGAAGAAUAUGAGAAAAGACAGAGUCCUAUAGUGUUUUGAUGAUUGUUACAACUAAAAUUUGGUAUUUUAAGGUAAAGGAGAAGGAAAUACUAGAGAACACAGAGAGUCUGAGGGGAGAAACAUUGAGAUUGUCUCUCAUAGCUGUGGAGUGAACUUGUGUCUCAGCCUGGGUUGGCCUUUCUGCACCAUUAAGGGAGCUUAUGUGUCACUGGGUACCAGGAGGGUGACAGCUGGGGGCAGAGAGCCCUUCUUGCUAUAGGUGAUAUCUGGAGGUUAAAUUCUAGGUAUUGGGUAUCCUGUGACAGUACAUGAUGACAUUGUUUUAAUUUGUUUAAGACCAGGCUGUCUUUGAACUGAGGACCUUCUUUCUCUAGUCUCCCUAAGUGCUGGGGUCACAGACAUGUGCCACUGCCCCAGCAUCCAUGAAUCUUCUUGAAGAUCCAUUUCUCCCUUUAUCUUCCCUAACCUUUUCAUUUUUCUACUUUGUGUGUGUGUGGUGAUGGGGAUCAGACGUCGGCCCUCACAUGCUGGGCGAGUGUUCUACCACUGAACCACACCCUCCAGCCCCUUCCUUGUCUUUCCUCUUCCCCUUUCUUAUUGCAUUUCUACUAUAGAAUGAUCUCCCUGAUACAUCCUGGGCCAUAAGGAAAUGUAGGACUCUGGGGUUUACUAAACAUGGUGGGCAGUCCAAAGCUGUGCCCUAUUUCCCCAUUGUGAAAAUAUGGCAGUUCCUUUGAUUACCUGGCUUAGGCCAGAGUACCAUUGCAGGAGAGGCCUCAGGGCCUGCACUCGGGAUGAGGAAGGUGGGGUAUAUUCAGCAUUGGGUUUCUGAGAGGAGAGCUGAUCUGAGCAGUUACCAUGAACCCUGAGGCAGGGUUCCCAGAGUUGUCCUCUCUGCUCCGGUGAGGCAGCAACUGAGGGUCUCAUGUCUCCAGUCUUGUUCACCUCAAGCCAUCUACAUUCUCUCUUUCUGCCAUACUGUCAUUGCUGCUAAUGGUCAGAGUCAAGCAUGUGGCAUUACAGAAUGAGCAGGUGGUCUUGGGCUGCUAUCCGGACAUCACUUUUUAAAUGUGGAAACAUGCAGAUGACUUCUCCAAGAGGCUUAGGCUAAUGUGUCAGCCAGAAACAGUAGGCUAAGAGAAGCUUGAACUCCAGAAGAAAGCUGUUGACAUUCUGUGUGACAGCUGGAAAAUGUAUAAGCACCCGCCCUUGAGACAACUCAGUGAAGCCGAACUGUGCUAUCCGCCAUUUGAUAGAAAUGUUCUCACCUUGGGCUGACUGUGAUGUACAAUGUGUUAUGAAAAUUGUCGAGCUGAAGCUUUAGUCAAAUACGAGUCACUUGCUUUGAUCCCGUGUAUUUUAUGAUUCCUCUGUCAGUGACUUUCCCUCGCCUUACCCUGAGUGUGAAUUGUAGCAUGAUUGUAUAAACCUCUAUGUAGAAAAUGGAGAUUUCAUGUUCUACAAAAUGUUAAGCUCUAACUGAUCCAUUUCUGUGUUCUCUAUAGCCUCAUGUGUAUGACCUCACUUUCUUAUCUAUUUAAACUUUCCUUCUGUUCUAAAGCUUUCGUAGCACCCCUGUUCAGGUGGAGAGGAAGCUGUCUCUUUGCAGAACCGUACUGUAACCAUUUCUCCUUUAUAAAUAUUAUUUUCACAGGGCUGAUUGUAUACAGGGCUUGUAAUAAAAUUUUAACACUGUGUUGUGAAUGAGCUGCGGUUUCUCCGCUGGAGGUGACUUCAAAAGCACCUGAGGGUGGAGCGUUCUUUCUGUGACCUUACUUCCUAGUACGUGAAGUCUAAUCUCACAGUCUUGUUCUGUUUCAGUCUCCUGUAUAAGAAGUACCAUAUUUUCUGCCCAUCAUACUUUGUAAUAAAACUUGAACAUGUAUAGAUUGAA